rnacentral:rRNA from 1 species
GACGAACGCUGGCGGCGCGCCUAACACAUGCAAGUCGAACGAGCGAGAGAGAGCUUGCUUUCUCGAGCGAGUGGCGAACGGGUGAGUAACGCGUGAGGAACCUGCCUCAAAGUGGGGGACAACAGUUGGAAACGACUGCUAAUACCGCAUAAGCCCACGACCCGGCAUCGGGUAGAGGGAAAAGGAGCAAUCCGCUUUGAGAUGGCCUCGCGUCCGAUUAGCUAGUUGGUGAGGUAACGGCCCACCAAGGCGACGAUCGGUAGCCGGACUGAGAGGUGGAACGGCCACAUUGGGACUGAGACACGGACCAGACUCCUACGGGAGGCAGCAGUGGGGAAUAUUGCACAAUGGGGGAAACCCUGAUGCAGCGGCGCCGCGUGGAGGAAGAAGGUCUUCGGAGUGUAAACUCCUGUUGUUGAGGAAGAUAAUGACGGUACUCAACAAGGAAGUGACGGCUAACUACGUG